CGGGGUGAGUGACGCGUGGAUAACCUGCCUCACACUGGGGGAUAACAGUUAGAAAUGGCUGCUAAUACCGCAUAAGCGCACAGUACCGCAUGGUACGGUGUGAAAAACCCAGGUGGUGUGAGAUGGAUCCGCGUCUGAUUAGCCAGUUGGCGGGGUAACGGCCCACCAAAGCGACGAUCAGUAGCCGACCUGAGAGGGUGACCGGCCACAUUGGGACUGAGACACGGCCCAA
rnacentral:rRNA from 1 species